rnacentral:rRNA from 1 species
AGAGUUUGAUCAUGGCUCAGGAUGAACGUUGGGCGGUGUGCCUAAUACAUGCAAGUCGAACGGUGAUGAUUUUGUAGUAAUACGAAUGAAAUCAUAGUGGCGAACGGGUGAGUAACGCGUUGGUGAUCUGCCUCGAAGUGUGGAAUAACGUCCCGAAAGGGACGCUAAUACCGCAUGUGCUUUCAAUUUUUAGAAAGUUGAAAGUAAAGGAUUUAUUCGCUUCGAGAGGAGCCUGCGUCCCAUCAGCUAGUUGGUAGGGUAAAAGCCUACCAAGGCAAUGACGGGUAGGGGACCUGAGAGGGUGGCCCCCCACAAUGGAACUGAAACACGGUCCAUACACCUACGGGUGGCAGCAGUAGGGAAUAUUAGAAAUGGACGAAAGUCUGAUCUAGCGACACUGCGUGUGCGAUGAAGGCCUUCGGGUUGUAAAGCACUUUUUGGAAGGAAUAGGAAGGAAGGUACUUCCAGAAUAAGUCUCGGCUAACUACGUGCCAGCAGCCGCGGUAACACGUAGGAGGCAAACGUUAUCCGGAUUUACUGGGCGUAAAGCGCGUGUAGGUGGUUCUGUAAGUAGGGCGUGAAAGCUCCCGGCUCAACUGGGAGAGGCCGUUCUAAACUGCAGAGCUAGAGGAUGGUAGAGGGAGGUGGAAUUCCAGGUGUAGCGGUGGAAUGCGCAGAUAUCUGGAGGAACACCAGUGGCGAAGGCGGCCUCCUGGACCAUUCCUGACACUCAGACGCGAAAGCUAGGGUAGCAAACGGGAUUAGAGACCCCGGUAGUCCUAGCCCUAAACGAUGUAGACUAGACGUCGGUGGUGUAAUAGCUGUCGGUGUCCAAGCUAACGCGAUAAGUCUACCGCCUGGGGACUACGGCCGCAAGGUUAAAACUCAAAUGAAUUGACGG